AAAUUGAAGAGUUUGAUCAUGGCUCAGAUUGAACGCUGGCGGCAGGCCUAACACAUGCAAGUCGAACGGUAACAGGAAGCAGCUUGCUGCUUUGCUGACGAGUGGCGGACGGGUGAGUAAUGUCUGGGAAACUGCCUGAUGGAGGGGGAUAACUACUGGAAACGGUGGCUAAUACCGCAUAACGUCGCAAGACCAAAGAGGGGGACCUUCGGGCCUCUUGCCAUCAGAUGUGCCCAGAUGGGAUUAGCUAGUUGGUGAGGUAACGGCUCACCAAGGCGACGAUCCCUAGCUGGUCUGAGAGGAUGACCAGCCACACUGGAACUGAGACACGGUCCAGACUCCUACGGGAGGCAGCAGUGGGGAAUAUUGCACAAUGGGCGCAAGCCUGAUGCAGCCAUGCCGCGUGUAUGAAGAAGGCCUUCGGGUUGUAAAGUACUUUCAGCGGGGAGGAAGGUGUUGUGGUUAAUAACCGCAGCAAUUGACGUUACCCGCAGAAGAAGCACCGGCUAACUCCGUGCCAGCAGCCGCGGUAAUACGGAGGGUGCAAGCGUUAAUCGGAAUUACUGGGCGUAAAGCGCACGCAGGCGGUCUGUCAAGUCGGAUGUGAAAUCCCCGGGCUCAACCUGGGAACUGCAUUCGAAACUGGCAGGCUUGAGUCUUGUAGAGGGGGGUAGAAUUCCAGGUGUAGCGGUGAAAUGCGUAGAGAUCUGGAGGAAUACCGGUGGCGAAGGCGGCCCCCUGGACAAAGACUGACGCUCAGGUGCGAAAGCGUGGGGAGCAAACAGGAUUAGAUACCCUGGUAGUCCACGCCGUAAACGAUGUCUACUUGGAGGUUGUGCCCUUGAGGCGUGGCUUCCGGAGCUAACGCGUUAAGUAGACCGCCUGGGGAGUACGGCCGCAAGGUUAAAACUCAAAUGAAUUGACGGGGGCCCGCACAAGCGGUGGAGCAUGUGGUUUAAUUCGAUGCAACGCGAAGAACCUUACCUGGUCUUGACAUCCACAGAACUUUCCAGAGAUGGAUUGGUGCCUUCGGGAACUGUGAGACAGGUGCUGCAUGGCUGUCGUCAGCUCGUGUUGUGAAAUGUUGGGUUAAGUCCCGCAACGAGCGCAACCC
rnacentral:rRNA from 1 species